GACGGAAGGUGCAAGCGUUGUUCGGAUUUACUGGGCGUAAAGGGCGCGUAGGCGGCGCGGUAAGUCACUUGUGAAAUCUCUGAGCUUAACUCAGAACGGCCAAGUGAUACUGCAGUGCUAGAGUGUGGAAGGGGCAAUCGGAAUUCUUGGUGUAGCGGUGAAAUGCGUAGAUAUCAGGAGGAACACCGGUGGCGAAGGCGGGUCUCUGGGCAGUAACUGACGCUGAGGAGCGGAAGCGUGGGGAGCGAACAGG
rnacentral:rRNA from 1 species